ACGAACGCUGGCGGCGUGCUUAACCCCUGCAAGUCGCACGGAAAGGCCCUGCUUGCAGGGUACUCGAGUGGCGAACGGGUGAGUAACACGUGGGUGAUCUGCCCUGCACUUCGGGAUAAGCUUGGGAAACUGGGUCUAAUACCGGAUAGGAGCCAUCUUUAGUGUGGUGGUUGGAAAGUUUUUUCGGUGUAGGAUGAGCUCGCGGCCUAUCAGCUUGUUGGUGGGGUAAUGGCCUACCAAGGCGGCGACGGGUAGCCGGCCUGAGAGGGUGUACGGCCACAUUGGGACUGAGAUACGGCCCAGACUCCUACGGGAGGCAGCAGUGGGGAAUAUUGCACAAUGGGCGCAAGCCUGAUGCAGCGACGCCGCGUGGGGGAUGAAGGCCUUCGGGUUGUAAACUCCUUUCGCUAGGGACGAAGCUUUUUUGUGACGGUACCUAGAUAAGAAGCACCGGCUAACUACGUG
rnacentral:rRNA from 1 species